rnacentral:rRNA from 1 species
CUCGUAGGCGGAUUAUUAAGCUUGGUGUUAAAGUACCCGGCUCAACUGGGUGAAAGCGCUGAGAACUGAUAGACUAGAGUUCAGGAAGGGAAACUGGAAUUCCUGGUGUAGGGGUGAAAUCUGUAGAGAUCAGGAAGAACACCGGUGGCGAAGGCGAGUUUCUAGCCAUGAACUGACGCUGAGGAGCGAAAGCGUGGGGAGCGAACAGGAUUAGAUACCCUGGUAGUCC